AUGUAGCUCAGUUGGUAGAGCAUGGCGCUUGCAACGCCAGGGUUGUGGGUUCGAUUCCCGCUGU
rnacentral:tRNA from 1 species